AACGUUCCUUCCCACAAUGCACUACGGCACCCUGCGCUGUAUAAAGUUGAGUGUGACUUCCUCUCUGCCUCUCAGUCUGAAACUACCUGAGUGAUGUGUCGCCCUCGUGUGCGCGGCUUUCACUUAAAUAUUAGCUGCUGUGUCCCCUGCUGAGCCAGCAUAUCAGCAUUGUGUUCACUAUGGGAUAGAGCUACUAACCAGAUGCCCCAUCUGUGGGCCAAAAGUUUUCAGACCGAGCCUCUGCUGAGCUGAUCAGUGUGGAGCUGCAGGUGGACUGACCCAGGGAGCAGAUGGACCUGCAGGGGGCAGCAAAUACCUGGAGGAGCUGAAACUGACUCAGCUAAAGCCUGCCUGGCUGGUCUGGAUGAGGUGAAGAAGUUUGUCCUCUGACUGGACAUGACAUCUGAACAGCUGUUUUUUGGGUCGUGUGCUCCAGCUGAUGGAGGCUGAGCCUGUACAUGAAAGUGUUGAGCAUUUUGUUUGGAAGCAUCACAUACUGUCACAUCUUCAAGAAGAUUUCAAUAAAAUUUGAAUUUGCUCAA